CAGUCGCCUUUUUCAAGCUCCAGAGAUUAACCUGUACAUGUGUGUCACUCUUGACUGAUAAGUUAAGUUGCUUGUUAUUUAUCGCUUUCCAAGAGAAGACAAACUCAUGAGCUUGAAAAUAAAGUUCAGCAGAACUCAAGAUGUUAAAGCAUCCUUAAACCCAGAUCGACUUAGAUUGACUCAACUUGACUAAUGUGGCCUUACUGCAUUGAUUUUUUCUUUCUUUUUUUUUUUUAAACAAAUGUCUGGAUAGCACUAUCACUAAAAUCCUGAAGCACUGAGUCCAAAAUAAAUGUAGUAAUGGAAGGUAAUACCUUAGGCAACAGAGUGGAAAUGUGUUGCUCCCGUUCUGCAGGUGCAUGGGCGAUCCACUUAAGCACAGCGUCAUACACAGUGUCCUCCUGGACAUCGAGGUGAUCAUUAUCAAGGAUAUCGGCAAGUUCCUCCACAGUGAGGUUUAGGAACUCCUCCUCUGCAACAACCUGCUUAAAGUGGUUGAGGAUGUAUUGGUAGGCCUUGGCACGCAGUUCGGGGAAAAGGGAUAUGGUUGUGAACUGCCACAUGCCAACGCAGUUCUCUGGGCAGAGCUGCUCCCCAAGGAAGUCACAGCAGAUUUUUACGAGGCCCAUUACAUUGAAUUGAUCGGCUGCUAGCAGAAGUUCUUGUACAUUGUCCUCUGUCACGUAAACUGAGCCAGUGUACGCAAAGUCAAUGAUGAGCUUCAUCAUGUCAGGAGACAGGCCAGAUAUUUUGAAGACCUUCUGGUCUGGGGCGGUCCAGCGUGUGAAGUAAGCCCUGAGGGUAGAGGAGACACAGCAGAGAAUUUGAAAAAGCAUGAAGACAACAAGACAGUAAAUGAUGUCAUGUACAAGUAGCUUUAAACCACAACACAACUACAGACCCAAGGGCACUGUGAUCAUGAAUACUAAAACUGAGGAGUUGCUGAGGCUCAGAUAUCAGUAACUAUGACAGUAUUGUCUCGCCGACCCUUCGGUUGGCUCGGGCCUAAUUACUGCUGCUGCUAUUUAAACUUUUUUUUAGUAAACGUAACCAUUUUUUUUACUGUGAAAAGAGUUCCAUGAUUUAACAUGUUCCUUUAGUUCACUUGUUGACACUGUUCCCAGACUCAGAUCAUAAAUGACAUAUCUUGAGGACAUAAAUCCAUCAGUUUUCCCUUGUUAUCAAGUAAGCAACUUACCGGAAAUACGGACUACAGUUACAGAGGAUGAUCUUGUGGACUGGAAAUUCGACAUCACCCACUUUGAGAAUUGCAUCACACAAUGUUCUCUUAAUACGGAGCUCAUUAUAGCUUGCCAUAUUUGAAGGCUGCUCUCUAUUGUUUAUCUUGAGUUUCGAUGCUUUGUGUUUGUCUCUUGGAUCAGUUAGCUUAAAUGUUGAACGCUGUCAAACCUUACUGUGUGAUUCUGGAAUGGAAGCUUAUGACAUCAUAAUGACUUGAAAGCAGUUAUGCUGACGAAUUGUUUUGUAGUGUAUCUUUUUAUCUAGUGUAUCUUUUUAUUUCAAAAAUAAACAAACAAAACUUAAUGUUUUGUUUAUUUUUGUCUUAAUGUCUAGACCCAUUUACUCUUCGUAAACAAUGAUGACGUAGGUAGCGAUGCGCGCGCAUUCUGAAAAUGGAAGUAUGGCGGAAUGCAAUGGCUUGUCAAGCUACGCUAAGGGAUUAUCCGCGAAAGAUCGAGAAAACUACCUCCGCAAGUUAACUUUGACCACCGGCAACUGGCUAACAGAUCCCUGCAGUAUUAACACAGGGUGGGUGGACGACGUUAGUAACUGCGGUCAAGUGAGCCCUCAUUUUCGAAGACGCACUCAAGCUAGCCGCACGUAGAAUUACAUUGCGCUUUUAUACCGCAUAUUACUACGGUGGCCGGGAGGUGCAAACCAAAAUUACAAAAUCUGAAACACUUUUACAAGUGGCAAAACAAAUUUACAUUUUAGAAACAAAAUCACAUUUUAGAAAACAAAUUAACAAUACGAGAAACACUUUUACAAGUUCAGAAGAAAUUAACAUUUCAGAAAACAAAUUAACAUUUCAGAAAACAAAUUAACAUCACUCGAAACACUUUUACAAGUGGCAAAAUCAACCGGAAAGGGUAGGUACUAAUUCCAAGGCUGACCCGGAAGUGAUAACGGAAGCGGGCAUUUCAACCCAAGAUGGACAGCAGUUCAGUGGCGUUUUGCCCGUUUUGCGGGGCACAUAUGAGUAGAUUAACGCGGUUUUGUUUUUCUUGUGGACGGUCCUUAGAGUUUUUAAAUGGGACAGAACAGACGGAAGGUCCAGAGGCACAGGGGAUAUGUCAACAGCCGGAUAAUGCUAAACAAACAGAAAAACCUUGCUCGUCAUAUAAACAGUUCCUGGAAUACCGAAGCUCGAAGUCCAAAGAGCGUCAGUCUUUUAACUACGGGCCUAGAGGAAGACACCGGGCUAAAGAACAAAAACACGUCCAGGUUUUUGAACUCCCAAAGAUAAGUCUGAAAAUGAAAGAGAUGCACUGGGACAUCAAGCUACAAUUCAGCCAGGACAGGUAAUGUCAUUUUCAGACGUUCAUCAUAUUCUGAAAACUGUGACAUGCUGGUCAGAUUUACCGAUGAUGCAGGUGUUUAUGAGGAAGGGAUUGACACAGGUGGUCCAAGAUGAGAAUUUUUUAACUCUGCUAAUGAAGCACCUGAAAGACCGGCCAAUUUUUGAUGGACCAGAGGGACAUCGGUUCUUGGUCUAUAAUGCAAAUGCUGUUAGGGAGGAUGAAUACUUCCUGGCAGGACAGAUGAUUGCAGUUUCAGUUGUACAUGGAGGUCCGGGACCCCAUUUCCUGUCAGAAGAUCUUGUACAGUAUCUUGCUGGCCAGCCUUCAUUCAAACCAACAGUUAAUUUAAUAACUGAUGAAGAAAUAGGGAAAGCUUUGCGAGAGGUGGGGAUAACAUAAAUCCAGUGUGGUAGGACAGAGUUUAACAUAGUUCCUGCACUGUUCAAUGAUGAUGUUUAGUUCCCACACAUAUACAUUUGCAGAAUUAUGAAUUUAUGGUAUUGUAGGGUUACAGCAUGCUAUAUAUGUCACUAAAUAAAAAUGGUCAAGAUUAACACAUAGUUAUUUAAUGUGUUGGGUAUGUCUCUUUGUCUUUCAGAUUGAGAAUGCUGCUACAUUGGAUGCUCUACAAGAAUGUAUCAUGAGACACAGCACAAUGUUGCAGACAGCAGGCUGUCUUAGACAUGUGGCUGCUGUGGACGAAAAGACAGAAAUUGUGGCCACCUACCUCCAGUGGUAUAUUUUUGACCGCAACUCAUCUGUAAUUGACAGUGUGUUCACUUUGUAGAUUCAAAGAUGGUCUUUCAGCUCUUCAGUUCCUGACUGCACUACAGCAACACCCUACUUUGCUGACCCCUGUCCUGUGCCACUGUGAAAAGCGACUGACUGCCUUUGAGCUUGAGAGACUCUUCAAACCUCAACUCAGCCCUUCAGGGAGUAAUAGGAGACUGAAAGAAAGCCAAACCUUGGCCUGCUGGGCAGACUAUCUCCUUGAUUGUGAAGAAGGCGAGGCUGCUGUGUCUGUGGAAGACAUUUUGAUGUUUGCAACUGGGCUGACAUCACUUCCCCCAUCUGGCUUGGAACCACUGCCACAAAUAGAGUUCCUGGAUGACGUUCCACUCCCAAUGGCAAAUACAUGUUCAAACUUGUUGAAAUUACCAUUUCUGGAUUCAUAUAGUGUGUUUAAGUCACAAAUGGACUUUGGAAUUCAAAAUAGUCCAGGAUUUGGUUGUCUAUAAACUAUAUAGCUAGAUAACCAUUAGAGUAGUGUUUUUCAAACCUGGUCAUCCAGGCACAAUGCCCUGCACGUUUUAGAUCAGAGAUCCUAAUCCUGAAUAACUGAUUAACAGGCUUUUUUUUUUUUUUUAAACUGCAAUCAUCUGAAUCAGGUAUGUUAAAGCAGGAAAACUUGGACUCAAAAUGUUUUUUGUUCUUUGUUGGUAUUAUGUGCAUUUAAAGGUGCAGUUACUUUUGUUAAAAUACUUUAAAAUUGCGGUAAGCAAG